UACGUAGGGUGCAAGCGUUGUCCGGAUUUAUUGGGUUUAAAGGGCGCGCAGGCGGCUCAUUAAGUCAGUGUUAAAAUACAACAGCUCAACUGUUGAACUGGCAUUGAUACUGAUGAGCUUGAGUACAGUGUAGGCAGGCGGAAUUUAUGGUGUAGCGGUGAAAUGCUUAGAUACCAUAAAGAACACCGAUAGCGAAGGCAGCUUGCCGGAGUGAAACUGACGCUCAGGCACGAAAGCGUGGGGAUCAAACAGG
rnacentral:rRNA from 1 species